rnacentral:tRNA from 1 species
CAUUAGAUAACUUAAAGCAAGUACUGGUCUCUUAAACCAUAAAAUAGUAAAUUAGCGAUUACUUCUAAUGG